rnacentral:rRNA from 1 species
UGGGGAAUAUUGCACAAUGGGCGCAAGCCUGAUGCAGCAACGCCGCGUGAACGAUGAAGGUCUUCGGAUCGUAAAGUUCUGUUGCAGGGGAAGAUAAUGACGGUACCCUGUGAGGAAGCCCCGGCUAACUACGUGCCAGCAGCCGCGGUAAUACGUAGGUCCCGAGCGUUGUCCGGAUUUAUUGGGCGUAAAGCGAGCGCAGGCGGUUAGAAAAGUCUGAAGUGAAAGGCAGUGGCUCAACCAUUGUAGGCUUUGGCAACUGUUUGACGUGAGUGCAGAAGGGGAGGGUGGAAUUCCAUGUGUAGCGGUGAAAUGCGUAGAUAUAUGGAGGAACACCGGUGGCGAAAGCGGCUCUCGGGUCUGUAACUGACGCUGAGGCUCGAAAGCGUGGGGAGCGAACAGG